UACAGAGGUGGCAAGCGUUGUUCGGAAUUACUGGGCGUAAAGGGCGCGUAGGCGCCUGCUCAGUCGGACGUGAAAGCCCCAGGCUUAACCUGGGAACUGCGUCCGAUACUGGCAGGCUUGGAUUCGGGAGAGGGAUGUGGAAUUCCAGGUGUAGCGGUGAAAUGCGUAGAUAUCUGGAGGAACACCGGUGGCGAAGGCGGCAUCCUGGACCGGUAUUGACGCUGAGGCGCGAAAGCUAGGGGAGCAAACGGG
rnacentral:rRNA from 1 species